CGCGGCGUUCCGGGUGGAGCGCUCCGUCUGCAAAACGGAUGUCCUCGGGUUCGACUCCCGGCGUGGCCUC
rnacentral:tRNA from 2 species